rnacentral:sRNA from 1 species
GCAGUCAUGGCGCAGGAAGAGGAAGAUGUUAGAGAUUACAAUUUGACUGAAGAACAGAAGGCGAUCAAGGCCAAGUAUCCGCCAGUCAAUAGGAAGUACGAGUAUUUGGAUCAUACAGCAGAUGUCCAGUUACACGCAUGGGGAGAUACUCUGGAGGAAGCAUUCGAGCAAUGUGCAAUGGCCAUGUUUGGUUACAUGACAGAUACUGGGACAGUGGAGCCCCUCCAAACAGUAGAAGUAGAAACCCAAGGAGAUGACUUACAGUCUCUUCUGUUUCACUUUUUGGAUGAAUGGCUUUAUAAGUUCAGUGCUGAUGAAUUCUUCAUACCCCGGGAAGUGAAAGUACUUAGCAUUGAUCAAAGAAAUUUCAAAUUACGAUCAAUUGGAUGAGGUCUCCCUAUGUUGCUCAGGCUGUUCUCAAACUCCUGGGCUCAAGCGAUCCUCCCUUUGGCCUCCCAAAGUGCCGGGAUUAUAGGUAUGAGCCACCGCACCCGGCCUUAACUAUCAAUCUUGAGAGCAAAUGAUGACACUGCACACACGUCCCUCAACAGCUGUAUCUUCUGACAAAUGAAAAUGAAACUUAACAGCUCCCUGACCCCUCCUGUCUCUUUUGGCUUUCUAGCAUGUUAACCACAUUUACAGGGCUUAUUUUAAAGCAUAUAAAGAGAGAACAAAUCUU